GGGACAGACAUGACUGCCAGAGUCCAGGCUAAAAGCCGUCGACAUGGCCAAAACUGGAUGCUGACAACACCAAGUGUUGACAGGACAGUGGAGGGACUGGAACUCUCUCAUCCGCCGCUGCUGGGUGUAAAACAGUUUGCCACAGGCCUCGGGUCUCAUGAAGUCGUGAGCUUCACACACAGCCCAGCGACCCCACUCCUGGACGUUUCCCCGAGAGGAACGAACACAUAACGUCUGCGCAAAGACAGAUCUGUUGGCAAACGUUCGCGGCGGCUUCGCUGUGAUCUCCAAACCGCUGGAAACACCCCAAACGUCCACCAGCAGGGGGGCACAGAUGAACAAGCCGAGGUCCGUUCACCCCGCGGCCUGCCAGGCAGCAGUGAAGGAGGCAAAUCUGACAAUGUUUGUGGCUGAGAAGCGGCGGGCCCGGCGAAAGAGGCCACCCUGCGCGGUCCCAGGGGCACGAAGUUCCCCAAAAGGCUAGACUAAGCCGCAGCGAUAGAAAUCAGAGCAGUGAUUGGGGCGGCACAGAGAGAGGGCUGGGACACUUCUGGGACCUUCUGGAUGCAAAGGGCGCAGACUCCGUGGCCUGCGGCCGCCGGGCCCACGCACCUGUCGAGGCGCGCAGGCGUGGGAACCUAGCGGCUGUAAACGGUCUCUCGCCAGGGAAGGCGAUGCCAACCCCGGUGUGAAGGCGGCGGUGUGAGCAGUGGGAUUCCGAUUUCAGCUCUGAGGCAGAGUCCACAGGCCGUGCAGGCGCCCCUUGCAAGCCCCUGGCCGCCCCCAGUGGAGUGGACAUCCUAGACCGGCGCGGGACAACGGAUACGACGAAGCCACAGAUAAGGGCACAUGGGUAACUUAAAAUUCCCCAGCAUCCACGUUUUCAAAAGUGGAAAAUAAAUAGAUGCAAUUAAUUGUAA